rnacentral:rRNA from 1 species
GACGAACGCUGGCGGCGUGCUUAACACAUGCAAGUCGAACGGUAAGGCCCUUCGGGGUACACGAGUGGCGAACGGGUGAGUAACACGUGGGUGAUCUGCCCUGCACUUCGGGAUAAGCCUGGGAAACUGGGUCUAAUACCGGAUAGGACUCCGGGCUGCAUGGUCGGGGGUGGAAAGCUUUUGCGGUGUGGGAUGGGCCCGCGGCCUAUCAGCUUGUUGGUGGGGUGAUGGCCUACCAAGGCGACGACGGGUAGCCGGCCUGAGAGGGUGACCGGCCACACUGGGACUGAGAUACGGCCCAGACUCCUACGGGAGGCAGCAGUGGGGAAUAUUGCACAAUGGGCGCAAGCCUGAUGCAGCGACGCCGCGUGAGGGAUGACGGCCUUCGGGUUGUAAACCUCUUUCAGCAUCGACGAAGCGAAAGUGACGGUAGGUGCAGAAGAAGGACCGGCCAACUACGUGCCAGCAGCCGCAGUAA